rnacentral:rRNA from 1 species
GUGUCAGCAGCCGCGGUAAUACGUAGGGGGCAAGCGUUGUCCGGAAUCAUUGGGCGUAAAGCGCGUGUAGGCGGCCAGAAAAGUCCGCUGUGAAAACUCGAGGCUCAACUUCGAGCUGUCGGUGGAAACUUUCUGGCUAGAGUCCGGAAGAGGAGAAUGGAAUUCCUGGUGUAGCGGUGAAAUGCGCAGAUAUCAGGAAGAACACCCGUGGCGAAGGCGGUUCUCUGGGACGGUACUGACGCUGAGACGCGAAAGCGUGGGGAGCGAACAGGAUUAGAUACCCUGGUAGUCC